rnacentral:rRNA from 1 species
UACGUAGGGUGCGAGCGUUGUCCGGAAUUAUUGGGCGUAAAGAGCUCGUAGGCGGCUUGUCGCGUCGGAUGUGAAAGCCCGGGGCUCAACUCCGGGUCUGCAUUCGAUACGGGCAGACUAGAGUUCGGUAGGGGAGAUCGGAAUUCCUGGUGUAGCGGUGAAAUGCGCAGAUAUCAGGAGGAACACCGGUGGCGAAGGCGGAUCUCUGGGCCGAUACUGACGCUGAGGAGCGAAAGCGUGGGGAGCGAACAGG